UGCGUAGACGGUUAUGUAAGUCGGGUGUGAAAGCCCCCGGGCUCAACCUGGGAAUUGCACUCGAGACUGCAUAGCUAGGGUGCGGAAGAGGGAAGCGGAAUUUCCGGUGUAGCGGUGAAAUGCGUAGAUAUCGGAAGGAACACCAGUGGCGAAAGCGGCUUCCUGGUCCAGCACCGACGUUCAGGCACGAAAGCGUGGGGAGCAAACAGGAUUAGAUACCCUGGUAGUCCACGCCAUAAACGAUGAGAACUAGACGUUGAGAGGGUAAGCCUCGCAGUGUCGUAGCUAACGCGCUAAGUUCUCCGCCUGGGGAGUACGGCCGCAAGGUUGAA
rnacentral:rRNA from 1 species